AGUGAACGCUGGCGGUAUGCCUAACACAUGCAAGUCGAACGGCAGCACAGUAAGAGCUUGCUCUUACGGGUGGCGAGUGGCGGACGGGUGAGGAAUACAUCGGAAUCUACUUUUUCGUGGGGGAUAACGUAGGGAAACUUACGCUCAUACCGCAUACGACCUACGGGUGAAAGCAGGGGAUCUUCGGACCUUGCGCGAUUGAAUGAGCCGAUGUCGGACUAGCUAGUUGGCGGGGUAAAGGCCCACCAAGGCGACGAUCCGUAGCUGGUCUGAGAGGAUGAUCAGCGACACUGGAACUGAGACACGGACCAGACUCCUACGGGAGGCAGCAGUGGGGAAUAUUGGACAAUGGGCGCAAGCCUGAUCCAGCCAUACCGCGUGGGUGAAGAAGGCCUUCGGGUUGUAAAGCCCUUUUGUUGGGAAAGAAAAGCAGCAGGUUAAUACCCCGCUGUUCUGACGGUACCCAAAGAAUAAGCACCGGCUAACUUCGUG
rnacentral:rRNA from 1 species